AUACGUAAGUGGCAAGCGUUAUCCGGAUUUACUGGGCGUAAAGGGAGCGUAGGCGGAUAUUUAAGUGGGAUGUGAAAUACCCGAGCUUAACUUGAGAGCUGCAUUCCAAACUGGAUAUCUAGAGUGCAGGAGAGGAGAAUGGAAUUCCUAGUGUAGCGGUGAAAUGCGUAGAGAUUAGGAAGAACACCAGUGGCGAAGGCGAUUCUCUGGACUGUAACUGACGCUGAGGCUCGAAAGCGUGGGGAGC
rnacentral:rRNA from 1 species